rnacentral:rRNA from 1 species
AUGGCUGUCGUCAGCUCGUGUCGUGAGAUGUUGGGUUAAGUCCCGCAACGAGCGCAACCCUAUCUAUGUUGCCAGCACGUUAUGGUGGGGACGUCGUAAGAGACUGCCGGGGUCAACUCGGAGGAAGGUGGGACGACGCCAGGUCAUCAUGCCCCUUAUGUCCAGGGCUUCACACAUGCUACAAUGGCCAGUACAGAGGGCUGCGAGACCGUGAGGUGGAGCGAAUCCCUUAAAGCUGGUCUCAGUUCGGAUCGGGGUCUGCAACUCGACCCCGUGAAGUCGGAGUCGCUAGUAAUCGCAGAUCAGCAACGCUGCGGUGAAUACGUUCCCGGGCCUU